rnacentral:rRNA from 1 species
GAUGAACGCUAGCGGGAGGCUUAACACAUGCAAGUCGUGGGGCAGCACGGGGUAGCAAUAUCCUGGUGGCGACCGGCGCACGGGUGAGUAACGCGUAUGCAACCUACCCAGUACAGGGGGAUAGCCCGGAGAAAUUCGGAUUAAUACCCCAUAAUGAUAUAGAGAGGCAUCUUUUUAUAUUUAAAGCUACGGCGGUACUGGAUGGGCAUGCGUAAGAUUAGCUAGUUGGUAGGGUAACGGCCUACCAAGGCUCCGAUCUUUAGGGGUCCUGAGAGGGUGAUCCCCCACACUGGUACUGAGAAACGGACCAGACUCCUACGGGAGGCAGCAGUGAGGAAUAUUGGUCAAUGGGCGCAAGCCUGAACCAGCCAUCCCGCGUGAAGGAAGAAGGCGCUAUGCGUUGUAAACUUCUUUUCCGGAGGAAUAAAAUUUUGUACGAGUACAGGACUGAAGGUACUCCGGGAAUAAGCAUCGGCUAACUCCGUGCCAGCCGCCGCAGUAAAAC